UGCUUGAAAGGCGCUGGACAAAAUUUUACUUAAGUUCAAAAGUUCACACCAGCUCGCUCUCUCUCUAACAUUCUCUCUCGCGACCUUUUCAGAAAACCCUCCCUCUCUCUCAACUCCCUUUCUCAUCUCUGAAACAGCAUCUCCAUGCCACCGUCUUGGUCAUUGAGCUUGUUAUCUAGGUCACAGAUCUCACCGUCCAGUUCACUGAGGUGGCCAUAUCCUUGCUUCCAUGUCACUGAGGUCGCCAAAAGUAUCGCCUCCACGAUUUUCACGAGGAGCAAGAAGCCCUUGCCAACCGCAUGAACAACAUCAAGCGCAAUCUCCUCCCUCACGUCGUCGAGGUCAGCAACCAUCUCCUUGCGCAGUCGUGGUCAAUGAGGGUUUUAGGGAUUUGGGCCGAACCUUUGAUUCAAACAAGACACUGGGCUCUCCAUGUAACAUCCAAUCAAUUCUAACUUUUGAAACAGAUCAAUCCGUAGUGUUUGCUAGUCAUGUCCAUGCCUGCGAACGCUUUCAUGACAGAUGCCAAUCAGUGUGAAGGUAGCUAGUUCAAGGGAAGGGGGCUUGAGGAAAUAGUCUCAAGAAGAGUUUAUCAGCAAGAACUACAUUUGAUGCAUCUGAAGGGUGAGUGAAGUUUGCAUUUCUCCAAUUCUAUGGUUGUGUUGUGUUUCUCUUAUUGGUAGGUAGGUGGAUUUUAGAUUUCUAGUUUGUUUUUUUGUUUUUAAGGAAUGUAAGUGUUUGUAACUCUUUGAUGAGAUCAGAAUAACGGAUGCUUCUUGAUUACCUGUCUAGGUCCAUUCUUUUUUGCAAUUAUUUAGUGUUGGAUAAUAUGUUGUUGUUGGACAAAAGACCAAGCACUUGAUAUUUUACCCGUAGCCCAUCUUGUCUCUUAUAUGUUUUAAGCAACAAAUGCAACAGCCAAAAUGAAAUGCAUGCUCUCAUAUGUCAUUGUUGUUGGCAAGUAUAGAGCCAUCUAGUGCAUAUUCAAGAUAUGCGAAAGUAAGUACCUUGCUUGGUUGCUUAAAUUAAUGAAUUUGACUUCCUAAUGAGAUGCAUGCUAAUUUCUCAACAAUCCAUGCUCAAAUGGAAACAUUUGGUCUUUUCUCCAUGUUUACAAAUAUCCAAAAAUAGCCUAUUUGAGUUGCUGAUUGCAGGUAGUCGCUAAUAUACCCUUUAAUAUAAGUACAAAUGUAGUCAGACAACUUCUUCCAAUGGGUGAAAUCUUUUCUGAAGUAGUACUCUUACUCCAGGUUGGCAUUAUUCUAUUGUUCUAUGAUUCUCAUUGUUUCAAGUUAAGUAAUUAUAUUAUGUAGCCCUGUAUUAAUAAUCCUUUCAUUAUUGGUAAUGUUAUAUGGAUUGUAUAUCUCACUAUUACAUUAUUUUGGCUUGUUAAGCAAUUUCCUAUGCCAUGGAAGUGGUUCGAACGAAGCUACUCCUAGCUUGGGGGAAGUAGUGUUGGUUCAAGCUGCUGUUAGUGGUAAAAGUGGAAGAAAUGCAAAGGAAAAUUGGUGAUGAUGAAGGCAUAGCUUUGUAUGCAUAUGGAGAACUUGACUUGAAGGAUAAUUAGGUAUAGGAAUUUUGGUGUAUUAUUGUAAUUAGGCUUG